rnacentral:rRNA from 1 species
GACGAACGCUGGCGGCGUGCUUAACACAUGCAAGUCGAACGGAAAGGCCCUGCUUUUGUGGGGUGCUCGAGUGGCGAACGGGUGAGUAACACGUGCGUAACCUGCCCUUGACUUUGGGAUAACUUCAGGAAACUGGGGCUAAUACCGGAUAGGAGCUCCUGCUGCAUGGUGGGGGUUGGAACGUUUCGGCGGUUGGGGAUGGACUCGCGGCUUAUCAGCUUGUUGGUGGGGUAGUGGCUUACCAAGGCUUUGACGGGUAGCCGGCCUGAGAGGGUGACCGGCCACAUUGGGACUGAGAUACGGCCCAGACUCCUACGGGAGGCAGCAGUGGGGAAUAUUGCACAAUGGGCGGAAGCCUGAUGCAGCAACGCCGCGUGCGGGAUGACGGCCUUCGGGUUGUAAACCGCUUUCGCCUGUGACGAAGCGUGAGUGACGGUAAUGGGUAAAGAAGCACCGGCUAACUACGUG